CUUAAUGCCAUACUACCCUGUACGUACCCGAUCUCAUCAGACCUCAGAAGCUAAGCAGAGUAGUGCUUGGCUAGCACUUAGAUGGGGAAAUGAUUAAGUAAUCGAUGGCAUACGGCCAUUAAGA
rnacentral:rRNA from 2 species